CGUGGAUCAAGGGGUUCAAGUUGAGACGUGGUCAGCCUCUCAGGACAAGCUAGACAUCACCUUCUCCUUCCCCUGAGGCAUGGCUUUCUGGUGUGAUGCAGUGUUCUGGUGUCGUGGAUCAAGGGGUUCAAGUUGAGACGUGGUCAGCCUCUCAGGACAAGCUAGACAUCACCUUCUCCUUCCCCUGAGGCAUGGCUUUCUGGUGUGAUGCAGUGUUCUGGUGUCGUGGAUCAAGGGGUUCAAGUUGAGACGUGGUCAGCCUCUCAGGACAAGCUAGACAUCACCUUCUCCUUCCCCUGAGGCAUGGCUUUCUGGUGUGAUGCAGUGUUCUGGUGUCGUGGAUCAAGGGGUUCAAGUUGAGACGUGGUCAGCCUCUCAGGACAAGCUAGACAUCACCUUCUCCUUCCCCUGAGGCAUGGCUUUCUGGUGUGAUGCAGUGUUCUGGUGUCGUGGAUCAAGGGGUUCAAGUUGAGACGUGGUCAGCCUCUCAGGACAAGCUAGACAUCACCUUCUCCUUCCCCUGAGGCAUGGCUUUCUGGUGUGAUGCAGUGUUCUGGUGUCGUGGAUCAAGGGGUUCAAGUUGAGACGUGGUCAGCCUCUCAGGACAAGCUAGACAUCACCUUCUCCUUCCCCUGAGGCAUGGCUUUCUGGUGUGAUGCAGUGUUCUGGUGUCGUGGAUCAAGGGGUUCAAGUUGAGACGUGGUCAGCCUCUCAGGACAAGCUAGACAUCACCUUCUCCUUCCCCUGAGGCAUGGCUUUCUGGUGUGAUGCAGUGUUCUGGUGUCGUGGAUCAAGGGGUUCAAGUUGAGACGUGGUCAGCCUCUCAGGACAAGCUAGACAUCACCUUCUCCUUCCCCUGAGGCAUGGCUUUCUGGUGUGAUGCAGUGUUCUGGUGUCGUGGAUCAAGGGGUUCAAGUUGAGACGUGGUCAGCCUCUCAGGACAAGCUAGACAUCACCUUCUCCUUCCCCUGAGGCAUGGCUUUCUGGUGUGAUGCAGUGUUCUGGUGUCGUGGAUCAAGGGGUUCAAGUUGAGACGUGGUCAGCCUCUCAGGACAAGCUAGACAUCACCUUCUCCUUCCCCUGAGGCAUGGCUUUCUGGUGUGAUGCAGUGUUCUGGUGUCGUGGAUCAAGGGGUUCAAGUUGAGACGUGGUCAGCCUCUCAGGACAAGCUAGACAUCACCUUCUCCUUCCCCUGAGGCAUGGCUUUCUGGUGUGAUGCAGUGUUCUGGUGUCGUGGAUCAAGGGGUUCAAGUUGAGACGUGGUCAGCCUCUCAGGACAAGCUAGACAUCACCUUCUCCUUCCCCUGAGGCAUGGCUUUCUGGUGUGAUGCAGUGUUCUGGUGUCGUGGAUCAAGGGGUUCAAGUUGAGACGUGGUCAGCCUCUCAGGACAAGCUAGACAUCACCUUCUCCUUCCCCUGAGGCAUGGCUUUCUGGUGUGAUGCAGUGUUCUGGUGUCGUGGAUCAAGGGGUUCAAGUUGAGACGUGGUCAGCCUCUCAGGACAAGCUAGACAUCACCUUCUCCUUCCCCUGAGGCAUGGCUUUCUGGUGUGAUGCAGUGUUCUGGUGUCGUGGAUCAAGGGGUUCAAGUUGAGACGUGGUCAGCCUCUCAGGACAAGCUAGACAUCACCUUCUCCUUCCCCUGAGGCAUGGCUUUCUGGUGUGAUGCAGUGUUCUGGUGUCGUGGAUCAAGGGGUUCAAGUUGAGACGUGGUCAGCCUCUCAGGACAAGCUAGACAUCACCUUCUCCUUCCCCUGAGGCAUGGCUUUCUGGUGUGAUGCAGUGUUCUGGUGUCGUGGAUCAAGGGGUUCAAGUUGAGACGUGGUCAGCCUCUCAGGACAAGCUAGACAUCACCUUCUCCUUCCCCUGAGGCAUGGCUUUCUGGUGUGAUGCAGUGUUCUGGUGUCGUGGAUCAAGGGGUUCAAGUUGAGACGUGGUCAGCCUCUCAGGACAAGCUAGACAUCACCUUCUCCUUCCCCUGAGGCAUGGCUUUCUGGUGUGAUGCAGUGUUCUGGUGUCGUGGAUCAAGGGGUUCAAGUUGAGACGUGGUCAGCCUCUCAGGACAAGCUAGACAUCACCUUCUCCUUCCCCUGAGGCAUGGCUUUCUGGUGUGAUGCAGUGUUCUGGUGUCGUGGAUCAAGGGGUUCAAGUUGAGACGUGGUCAGCCUCUCAGGACAAGCUAGACAUCACCUUCUCCUUCCCCUGAGGCAUGGCUUUCUGGUGUGAUGCAGUGUUCUGGUGUCGUGGAUCAAGGGGUUCAAGUUGAGACGUGGUCAGCCUCUCAGGACAAGCUAGACAUCACCUUCUCCUUCCCCUGAGGCAUGGCUUUCUGGUGUGAUGCAGUGUUCUGGUGUCGUGGAUCAAGGGGUUCAAGUUGAGACGUGGUCAGCCUCUCAGGACAAGCUAGACAUCACCUUCUCCUUCCCCUGAGGCAUGGCUUUCUGGUGUGAUGCAGUGUUCUGGUGUCGUGGAUCAAGGGGUUCAAGUUGAGACGUGGUCAGCCUCUCAGGACAAGCUAGACAUCACCUUCUCCUUCCCCUGAGGCAUGGCUUUCUGGUGUGAUGCAGUGUUCUGGUGUCGUGGAUCAAGGGGUUCAAGUUGAGACGUGGUCAGCCUCUCAGGACAAGCUAGACAUCACCUUCUCCUUCCCCUGAGGCAUGGCUUUCUGGUGUGAUGCAGUGUUCUGGUGUCGUGGAUCAAGGGGUUCAAGUUGAGACGUGGUCAGCCUCUCAGGACAAGCUAGACAUCACCUUCUCCUUCCCCUGAGGCAUGGCUUUCUGGUGUGAUGCAGUGUUCUGGUGUCGUGGAUCAAGGGGUUCAAGUUGAGACGUGGUCAGCCUCUCAGGACAAGCUAGACAUCACCUUCUCCUUCCCCUGAGGCAUGGCUUUCUGGUGUGAUGCAGUGUUCUGGUGUCGUGGAUCAAGGGGUUCAAGUUGAGACGUGGUCAGCCUCUCAGGACAAGCUAGACAUCACCUUCUCCUUCCCCUGAGGCAUGGCUUUCUGGUGUGAUGCAGUGUUCUGGUGUCGUGGAUCAAGGGGUUCAAGUUGAGACGUGGUCAGCCUCUCAGGACAAGCUAGACAUCACCUUCUCCUUCCCCUGAGGCAUGGCUUUCUGGUGUGAUGCAGUGUUCUGGUGUCGUGGAUCAAGGGGUUCAAGUUGAGACGUGGUCAGCCUCUCAGGACAAGCUAGACAUCACCUUCUCCUUCCCCUGAGGCAUGGCUUUCUGGUGUGAUGCAGUGUUCUGGUGUCGUGGAUCAAGGGGUUCAAGUUGAGACGUGGUCAGCCUCUCAGGACAAGCUAGACAUCACCUUCUCCUUCCCCUGAGGCAUGGCUUUCUGGUGUGAUGCAGUGUUCUGGUGUCGUGGAUCAAGGGGUUCAAGUUGAGACGUGGUCAGCCUCUCAGGACAAGCUAGACAUCACCUUCUCCUUCCCCUGAGGCAUGGCUUUCUGGUGUGAUGCAGUGUUCUGGUGUCGUGGAUCAAGGGGUUCAAGUUGAGACGUGGUCAGCCUCUCAGGACAAGCUAGACAUCACCUUCUCCUUCCCCUGAGGCAUGGCUUUCUGGUGUGAUGCAGUGUUCUGGUGUCGUGGAUCAAGGGGUUCAAGUUGAGACGUGGUCAGCCUCUCAGGACAAGCUAGACAUCACCUUCUCCUUCCCCUGAGGCAUGGCUUUCUGGUGUGAUGCAGUGUUCUGGUGUCGUGGAUCAAGGGGUUCAAGUUGAGACGUGGUCAGCCUCUCAGGACAAGCUAGACAUCACCUUCUCCUUCCCCUGAGGCAUGGCUUUCUGGUGUGAUGCAGUGUUCUGGUGUCGUGGAUCAAGGGGUUCAAGUUGAGACGUGGUCAGCCUCUCAGGACAAGCUAGACAUCACCUUCUCCUUCCCCUGAGGCAUGGCUUUCUGGUGUGAUGCAGUGUUCUGGUGUCGUGGAUCAAGGGGUUCAAGUUGAGACGUGGUCAGCCUCUCAGGACAAGCUAGACAUCACCUUCUCCUUCCCCUGAGGCAUGGCUUUCUGGUGUGAUGCAGUGUUCUGGUGUCGUGGAUCAAGGGGUUCAAGUUGAGACGUGGUCAGCCUCUCAGGACAAGCUAGACAUCACCUUCUCCUUCCCCUGAGGCAUGGCUUUCUGGUGUGAUGCAGUGUUCUGGUGUCGUGGAUCAAGGGGUUCAAGUUGAGACGUGGUCAGCCUCUCAGGACAAGCUAGACAUCACCUUCUCCUUCCCCUGAGGCAUGGCUUUCUGGUGUGAUGCAGUGUUCUGGUGUCGUGGAUCAAGGGGUUCAAGUUGAGACGUGGUCAGCCUCUCAGGACAAGCUAGACAUCACCUUCUCCUUCCCCUGAGGCAUGGCUUUCUGGUGUGAUGCAGUGUUCUGGUGUCGUGGAUCAAGGGGUUCAAGUUGAGACGUGGUCAGCCUCUCAGGACAAGCUAGACAUCACCUUCUCCUUCCCCUGAGGCAUGGCUUUCUGGUGUGAUGCAGUGUUCUGGUGUCGUGGAUCAAGGGGUUCAAGUUGAGACGUGGUCAGCCUCUCAGGACAAGCUAGACAUCACCUUCUCCUUCCCCUGAGGCAUGGCUUUCUGGUGUGAUGCAGUGUUCUGGUGUCGUGGAUCAAGGGGUUCAAGUUGAGACGUGGUCAGCCUCUCAGGACAAGCUAGACAUCACCUUCUCCUUCCCCUGAGGCAUGGCUUUCUGGUGUGAUGCAGUGUUCUGGUGUCGUGGAUCAAGGGGUUCAAGUUGAGACGUGGUCAGCCUCUCAGGACAAGCUAGACAUCACCUUCUCCUUCCCCUGAGGCAUGGCUUUCUGGUGUGAUGCAGUGUUCUGGUGUCGUGGAUCAAGGGGUUCAAGUUGAGACGUGGUCAGCCUCUCAGGACAAGCUAGACAUCACCUUCUCCUUCCCCUGAGGCAUGGCUUUCUGGUGUGAUGCAGUGUUCUGGUGUCGUGGAUCAAGGGGUUCAAGUUGAGACGUGGUCAGCCUCUCAGGACAAGCUAGACAUCACCUUCUCCUUCCCCUGAGGCAUGGCUUUCUGGUGUGAUGCAGUGUUCUGGUGUCGUGGAUCAAGGGGUUCAAGUUGAGACGUGGUCAGCCUCUCAGGACAAGCUAGACAUCACCUUCUCCUUCCCCUGAGGCAUGGCUUUCUGGUGUGAUGCAGUGUUCUGGUGUCGUGGAUCAAGGGGUUCAAGUUGAGACGUGGUCAGCCUCUCAGGACAAGCUAGACAUCACCUUCUCCUUCCCCUGAGGCAUGGCUUUCUGGUGUGAUGCAGUGUUCUGGUGUCGUGGAUCAAGGGGUUCAAGUUGAGACGUGGUCAGCUUCCUGAAGAAAGUGGGGAUGUCCCUACUUAAGUCUUCAGUUACUUUGCCGUGUGCCUUGCAAGGACAAAAACUCCAGCCUUCAUCUUCUCCUGGUAUCCUGGUGUCGUGGACCAAGGGGUUCAAGUUGAGACGUGGUC